CUAACACAUGCAAGUCGAGCGGAUGAGAAGAGCUUGCUCUUCGAUUCAGCGGCGGCGGGUGAGUAAUGCCUAGGAAUCUGCCUGGUAGUGGGGGACAACGUUUCGAAAGGAACGCUAAUACCGCAUACGUCCUACGGGAGAAAGCAGGGGACCUUCGGGCCUUGCGCUAUCAGAUGAGCCUAGGUCGGAUUAGCUAGUUGGUGAGGUAAUGGCUCACCAAGGCGACGAUCCGUAACUGGUCUGAGAGGAUGAUCAGUCACACUGGAACUGAGACACGGUCCAGACUCCUACGAGAGGCAGCAGUGGGGAAUAUUGGACAAUGGGCGAAAGCCUGAUCCAGCCAUGCCGCGUGUGUGAAGAAGGUCUUCGGAUUGUAAAGCACUUUAAGUUGGGAGGAAGGGCAUUAACCUAAUACGUUAGUGUUUUGACGUUACCGACAGAAUAAGCACCGGCUAACUCUGUGCCAGCAGCCGCGGUAAUACAGAGGGUGCAAGCGUUAAUCGGAAUUACUGGGCGUAAAGCGCGCGUAGGUGGUUUGUUAAGUUGGAUGUGAAAGCCCCGGGCUCAACCUGGGAACUGCAUCCAAAACUGGCAAGCUAGAGUACGGUAGAGGGUGGUGGAAUUUCCUGUGUAGCGGUGAAAUGCGUAGAUAUAGGA
rnacentral:rRNA from 1 species